rnacentral:rRNA from 1 species
CCUACGGGUGGCAGCAGUGGGGAAUAUUGCACAAUGGGGGAAACCCUGAUGCAGCGACGCCGCGUGAAGGAAGAAGUAUUUCGGUAUGUAAACUUCUAUCAGCAGGGAAGAAAAUGACGGUACCUGACUAAGAAGCCCCGGCUAACUACGUGCCAGCAGCCGCGGUAAUACGUAGGGGGCAAGCGUUAUCCGGAUUUACUGGGUGUAAAGGGAGCGUAGGCGGUUUAGCAAGUCAGAAGUGAAAGCCCGGGGUUCAACUCCGGGACUGCUUUUGAAACUGUUGAACUAGAGUGCAGGAGAGGUAAGUGGAAUUCCUAGUGUAGCGGUGAAAUGCGUAGAUAUUAGGAGGAACACCAGUGGCGAAGGCAGCUUACUGGACUGUAAAUGACGCUGAGGCUCGAAAGCGUGGGGAGCAAACAGGAUUAGAUACCCUUGUAGUC